CCAGCAGUCGCGGUUAGACGAAUAAUGCAAGUAAACUUUAUUAGAUUGAGUUAAAUAGUUAUUUUUUAUUUUUAUUGAGUUUAUUAGGUGAAAUUUUAAAUUUAAUUAAGUAAUAUAAUAAUUUUUAUUGAAGCUUGAAAAUUUUAAUUAAAAACUAGGAUUAGAUACCCUAUUAUUUAAAAUGAAUUUUGAUUCUUAGGUAGUAGUAGUUAUGGUCUUGAAACUUAAAAAAUUUGGCGGUAUUUUAGUCUAUCCAGAGGAACCUGUUCUGUAAUCGAUAUUCCACGUUGGACCUUACUUGAUAAUGUGUUCAGUUUAUAUACCGUCGUUAUAAGAAUAUUUUAUUAGAAUAAUAAUUUUCUUUAAUUUUUAUUAAAAUUUAUAUCAGAUCAAGGUGUAGCUAAUAAUUAAGUAGAAAUGGGUUACAAUAAAAUUAUUUAAAUGGAUAAAAAUAUGAAAAGUUUUUUGAAGGUGGAUUUGGUAGUAAAUUUAUUAAUUUUGUUAAUUUGAUUUUAGCUC
rnacentral:rRNA from 1 species